AGAGUUUGAUCCUGGCUCAGAUUGAACGCUGGCGGCAUGCCUUACACAUGCAAGUCGAACGGCAGCACGGGAGCUUGCUCCUGGUGGCGAGUGGCGAACGGGUGAGUAAUAUAUCGGAACGUACCCUAGAGUGGGGGAUAACGCAGCGAAAGUUGCGCUAAUACCGCAUACGAUCUACGGAUGAAAGUGGGGGAUCGCAAGACCUCAUGCUCAUGGAGCGGCCGAUAUCUGAUUAGCUAGUUGGUAGGGUAAAAGCCUACCAAGGCUUCGAUCAGUAGCUGGUCUGAGGAGGACGACCAGCCACACUGGAACUGAGACACGGUCCAGACUCCUACGGGAGGCAGCAGUGGGGAAUUUUGGACAAUGGGCGCAAGCCUGAUCCAGCAAUGCCGCGUGAGUGAAGAAGGCCUUCGGGUUGUAAAGCUCUUUUGUCAGGGAAGAAACGGUGGACUCUAAUACAGAUCACUAACGACGGUACCUGAAGAAUAAGCACCGGCUAACUACGUGCCAGCAGCCGCGGUAAUA
rnacentral:rRNA from 1 species